CUAAUACCGGCAUACGUCCUACGGGAAGAAAGCAGGGGGACCUUCCGGGCCUUGCGCUUAUCAGAUGAGCCUUAGGUCGGAUUAGCUAGUUGGUGAGGUAAUGGCUUCACCAAGGCGACGAUCCGUAACUUGGUCUGAGAGGAUGAUCAGUCACACUGGAACUUGAGACACGGUCCAGACUCCUACGGGAGGCAGCAGUGGGGAAUAUUGGACAAUGGGCGAAAGCCUUGAUCCAGCCAUGCCGCGUGUGUGAAGAAGGUCUUCGGAUUGUAAAGCACUUUAAGUUGGGAGGAAGGGCAGUUACCUAAUACGUAAUUGUUUUGACGUUACCGACAGAAUAAGCACCGGCUAACUCUGUGCCAGCAGCCGCGGUAAUACAGAGGGUGCAAGCGUUAAUCGGAAUUACUGGGCGUAAAGCGCGCGUAGGUGGUUUGUUAAGUUGAAUGUGAAAUCCCCGGGCUCAACCUGGGAACUGCAUCCAAAACUGGCAAGCUAGAGUAUGGUAGAGGGUGGUGGAAUUUCCUGUGUAGCGGUGAAAUGCGUAGAUAUAGGAAGGAACACCAGUGGCGAAGCGACCACCUGGACUGAUACU
rnacentral:rRNA from 1 species